rnacentral:rRNA from 1 species
GAUGAACGCUAGCGGCAGGCUUAACACAUGCAAGUCGAGGGGUAGAAGGAGCUUGCUCCUUUGAGACCGGCGCACGGGUGCGUAACGCGUAUGCAAUCUACCUUUUGCAGAGGGAUAGCCCAGAGAAAUUUGGAUUAAUACCUCAUAGUAUGUGAGGAUGGCAUCAUUUUCACAUUAAAGUCACAACGGCAAAAGAUGAGCAUGCGUCCCAUUAGCUAGUUGGUAAGGUAACGGCUUACCAAGGCUACGAUGGGUAGGGGUCCUGAGAGGGAGAUCCCCACACUGGUACUGAGACACGGACCAGACUCCUACGGGAGGCAGCAGUGAGGAAUAUUGGACAAUGGGCGGCAAGCCUGAUCCAGCCAUGCCGCGUGCAGGAUGACGGUCCUAUGGAUUGUAAACUGCUUUGUACAGGAAGAAACACUACUUCGUG